AUUGAACGCUGGCGGCAGGCCUAACACAUGCAAGUCGAACGCGUGGCGGACGGGUGAGUAAUGUCUGGGAAACUGCCUGAUGGAGGGGGAUAACUACUGGAAACGGUAGCUAAUACCGCAUACCAUCGGAUGUGCCCAGAUGGGAUUAGCUAGUAGGUGGGGUACAGGCUCACCUAGGCGACGAUCCCUAGCUGGUCUGAGAGGAUGACCAGGCACACUAGAACUGGGACACGGUCCAAGCUCCUACGGGAGGCAGCAGUGGGGAAUAUUGCGCAAUGGGCGCAAGCCUAAUUGAGCCAUGCCGCGUGUAUGAAGAAGGCCUUCGGGUUGUAAAGUACUUUCAGCGGGGAAGCGUUACCCGCAGAGGAAGCACCGGCUAACUCCGGGCCAGCCGCCGCGGUAAUUC
rnacentral:rRNA from 1 species